rnacentral:rRNA from 1 species
CCUACGGGGGGCAGCAGUGGGGAAUAUUGGACAAUGGGCGAAAGCCUGAUCCAGCCAUGCCGCGUGUGUGAAGAAGGCCUUCGGGUUGUAAAGCACUUUCAGUGGGGAAGAAAGCCUUGGGGCUAAUACCCUCGAGGAAGGACAUCACCCACAGAAGAAGCACCGGCUAACUCCGUGCCAGCAGCCGCGGUAAUACGGAGGGUGCGAGCGUUAAUCGGAAUUACUGGGCGUAAAGCGCGCGUAGGCGGUCUGAUAAGCCGGUUGUGAAAGCCCCGGGCUCAACCUGGGAACGGCAUCCGGAACUGUCAGGCUAGAGUGCAGGAGAGGAAGGUAGAAUUCCCGGUGUAGCAGUGAAAUGCGUAGAGAUCGGGAGGAAUACCAGUGGCGAAGGCGGCCUUCUGGACUGACACUGACGCUGAGGUGCGAAAGCGUGGGUAGCAAACAGGAUUAGAUACCCCGGUAGUC